AUACAGAGGGUGCAAGCGUUAAUCGGAAUUACUGGGCGUAAAGCGCGCGUAGGCGGUUUGUUAAGUCGGAUGUGAAAUCCCCGGGCUCAACCUGGGAACUGCAUUCGAAACUGGCGAGCUUGAGUAUGGUAGAGGAUAGUGGAAUUCCGGGUGUAGCGGUGAAAUGCGUAGAUAUCCGGAGGAACAUCAGUGGCGAAGGCGGCUAUCUGGACCAAUACUGACGCUGAGGUGCGAAAGCGUGGGGAGCAAACAGGAUUAGAAACCCUAGUAGUCC
rnacentral:rRNA from 1 species